rnacentral:rRNA from 1 species
AACGUAGGAGACAAACGUUAUCCGGAGUUACUGGGCGUAAAGGGCGUGUAGGCGGUUCGUUAAGUCUGGCGUGAAAGCUCUCGGCUAAACCGGGAGAGGUCGUUGGAUACUGGCAAACUAGAGGACGGUAGAGGCGUGUGGAAUUCCGGGUGUAGUGGUGAAAUGCGUAGAGAUCCGGAGGAACACCAGUGGCGAAGGCGACACGCUGGGCCGUACCUGACGCUAAAGCGCGACAGCAUGGGGAGCAAACGGGG